GACAGUUAGGCAUCUUGGAUUUGGGUUCUGUCUUCUAGGAGAGCUGGCAGAACCCAUUGUGUAUUUACACUGCAGCUGCCUCACUCUGCUAGGUCCCAGGCCCUGCAGCUGCAGCAGUUCUGGAAGAUGCAAGACCGGCAGAAGAGUGAGGAUGAUGCCUGCAGUGUCUCAGAAGGCUGGAGUCCCUGAAGGAUGAGAGCGCAGAGGAGAUGGAGAGGGGCCUGGCCAGUCCCCAAACAGGACCUUCGAGUGAUAUGCCGUGUUCUUAAAAAAAAAAAAUCCAAGGAUUCCAAAGAAAUUAACUGAGAUGCAGAGGAGGCCAGGAAGGCCAGGUUAAACAUUGAAUAAGAAAUUGAAUCUGCUUUUUCCAUGGAAAUCCAGCUCACACUGGCCAUGCUCUUCUCUUGUCUGCCUGCCUCAUGCUAUUCUGCCAACUGCUUCAGGGCAGCAUUUUCCGGAGUUAUUAAACACCCAAGCUUAAUGAGAGUGCACUUAUGGUUUCACUUAGCAAACACCUUCACUGCUCUUCCACGGUGA
rnacentral:lncRNA from 1 species